GGAGUUAGCCGGUGCUUCUUCUGUGAGUGAUGUCCUUCCUGCCGGCUAUUAACCCGCAGGCCUUCUUCCUCACUGAAAGUGCUUUACAACCCGAAGGCCUUCUUCACACACGCGGCAUGGCUGGAUCAGGGUUGCCCCCAUUGUCCAAUAUUCCCCACUGCUGCCUCCCGUAGGAGUCUGGGCCGUGUCUCAGUCCCAGUGUGGCUGAUCAUCCUCUCAGACCAGCUACGGAUCGUCGCCUUGGUGAGCCGUUACCUCACCAACCAGCUAAUCCGACAUAGGCUCAUCCGAUAGCGCGAGGCCCGAAGGUCCCCCGCUUUCCCCCGUAGGCGUAUGCGGUAUUAGCCUGGGUUUCCCCCAGGUUAUCCCCCACUACCGGGCAGAUUCCUAUGCAUUACUCACCCGUCCGCCGCUCGCCACCAGGGAGCAAGCUCCCCGUGCUGCCGCUCGACUUGCAUGUGUUAGGCCUGCCGCCAGCGUUCAAUCUGAGCCAGAAUCGAACCCUGA
rnacentral:rRNA from 1 species